rnacentral:rRNA from 1 species
AUUGAACGCUGGCGGCAUGCUUUACACAUGCAAGUCGAACGGUAACAGGUUAAGCUGACGAGUGGCGAACGGGUGAGUAAUGCAUCGGAACGUGCCCGGUCGUGGGGGAUAACGCAGCGAAAGCUGCGCUAAUACCGCAUACGAUCUGAGGAUGAAAGCGGGGGACCUUGUAGCAAUAUGGGGCCUCGCGCGAUCGGAGCGGCCGAUGUCAGAUUAGGUAGUUGGUGGGGUAAAGGCUCACCAAGCCAACGAUCUGUAGCUGGUCUGAGAGGACGACCAGCCACACUGGGACUGAGACACGGCCCAGACUCCUACGGGAGGCAGCAGUGGGGAAUUUUGGACAAUGGGCGCAAGCCUGAUCCAGCAAUGCCGCGUGCAGGAAGAAGGCCUCGGUUGGUAACGUAGCUUUGUUACGGAGCGAAAAGGACGUCCUCUAACACAGGGGUUCGAUGACGGUACCGUAAGAAGUAAGACA